AUGCGGCAGAUCUCGUCGAUGCUGCAGGGCUUGGCCCGUUCCAUGUCUCUGGGAAAGGAGAGGAAGGUGGAGGAGGAGCACCAGGGGACGGUGAUGCGGUUGUCGGGGACGCUCUGGGGCAAGGGCUCCGAGACGUUCGCCGCCGCGUGCUCCCGCCGCGGCGAGAAGGGCACCAACCAGGACACCUCCAUCGUCUCGGAGGCCAUUCAUUCACCAGAUUACGUGUUGCCUCUUGGGACAAUCCUGGAUCAUGUUGCUCACAAGUUUCUUGGAUAUGGCGCUUGCCUUUUGCGGAUACGGGUGCCAGGACGACGCCAUCUUCUACGGCAUCUUCGACUGGCACGACCAGUGGGGCCACUACGUCCCAAGGCCGUCCGGGAGUCGCUGCCGCAGUCGCUUCUGUGCCGCUGGCAGGAGGCCGUCACGCUGGCGUCACUCAUCGACGGCGAGAAGAGGCUCAUUGACUGCCAGUUCGACCUCGUGAGGAAGUCCUACCUGGCCGCCGCUGCAGCCGUGGACGAGGAGCUCCGCCGGAGCCGGCGCCUUGAUGCCAUCAACAACGGCUGCACGGCUCUGUCCAUCAUGAAGCAGAGCGACCUGAUGGUGGUCGCGAACGUCAGCGACUCGCGGGCCGUCCUUGCGACCACGUCGGACGACGGGGACAUCACGACCGUCCAGCUCACCGUCGACUUCAAGCCCGACUUACCCCAGGAGAAGGCGCGCAUCUUGCAGUGUGAGGGCCGCGUGCACUGCCUCAACGACAAUCCCGGCGUGCACCGGGUGUGGGUGCCCCAUCGGGAGGCGCCGGGGCUGGCCAUGUCGCGCGCGUUCGGCGACUACUGCGUCAAGGACUACGGCGUCAUUUUGGUGCCGGAGGUGACGUGGAGGAGGAUCACCGCCCAGGACCAGUUCGUCAUCCUGGCCACCGACGGGAGCGACUUGAUGGUGGUCGCGAACGUCAGCGACUCGCGGGCCAUCCUUGCGACCAUGUCGGACGACGGGGACAUCACGACCGUCCAGCUCACCGUCGACUUCAAGCCCGACUUACCCUAG
rnacentral:rRNA from 1 species